CUGGGCCUACGGGGGGCAGCAGUGGGGAAUAUUGCACAAUGGGGGAAACCCUGAUGCAGCGACGCCGCGUGAGUGAAGAAGUAUUUCGGUAUGUAAAGCUCUAUCAGCAGGGAAGAAACCCACCCUUUGGGGUGGCUGACGGUACCUGACUAAGAAGCCCCGGCUAACUACGUGCCAGCAGCCGCGGUAAUACGUAGGGGGCAAGCGUUAUCCGGAAUUAUUGGGCGUAAAGAGCGCGCAGGUGGUUAAUUAAGUCUGAUGUGAAAGCCCACGGCUUAACCGUGGAGGGUCAUUGGAAACUGGUU
rnacentral:rRNA from 1 species